UUCAGGGACAACGUUGGUUUCCUACCCUAAAAUAAAUCUCUCUCCUAUGUCGGACGGGAAAUCUGGCAACAUUUAUGCCAGAGGACUGUAUGUGUUUGACGGAGCAGGAGUACAACAAAGUUGCUUUCUUUUUGCUUUAAAAUGAGGACGAAGAAUGGGACUCUGCUGUUGAUGAUUUGUGCCUUUUGUGUGGGAGUCACUGAAGAUGAAGAUCGAGAGAAAUGUGAUCCAAACCCCCAGGAUUUUAAAUUGUAUGAGCCAACAGAGGCAGUGGUCGGCAAUAAUGUCACUCUCCCAUGUGUCCCGCUUACAUUCUCCAUUAAUCCUGAUGAUGUUGCUGUCGAAUGGAACAAAGAUGGUCUACAGAUUUAUUUAAUUAAGGAAAAAAACAAAAAUUAUAUAAAGAAAGAGUUAAAAGGCAGAAUAGCUGAUAACAUUAGUGAGAUGAGAAAAGAAGGACACGCUUCCAUCAGCAUUACCAACCUGACAAAAACAGAUGGAGGAGAAUAUUGUUGCUGUAUCUAUCAGAUAAACAGCAAAGACAUGAAAUGCAUUAACCACACUUUGGGUACAAACAUUCUUGCACAUCUAGCCUUUCGGAAUGAUUUAAUUACAUUAAAAUAUCUUUAAA